rnacentral:rRNA from 1 species
UACGUAGGGGGCAAGCGUUGUCCGGAUUUAUUGGGCGUAAAGAGCGUGUAGGCGGCCAUACAGGUCCGUUGUGAAAACUGGAGGCUUAACCUCCAGACGUCGAUGGAAACCGUAUGGCUAGAGUCCGGAAGAGGAGAGUGGAAUUCCUGGUGUAGCGGUGAAAUGCGCAGAUAUCAGGAAGAACACCCGUGGCGAAGGCGGCUCUCUGGGACGGUACUGACGCUGAGACGCGAAGCCAG